GUGCUUGCUUUGGUAGCACAUAUACAAAAAUUAGAAUGGUACAGAGAAGAUUAGCAUGGCCCAUGAGCAAGGAGGACAUAUUAGCCAAUACAUCUAACAGGGGGUU